rnacentral:rRNA from 1 species
UGUUCCUACGGGAGGCAGCAGUGGGGAAUAUUGGGCAAUGGGCGCAAGCCUGACCCAGCAACGCCGCGUGAAGGAAGAAGGCUUUCGGGUUGUAAACUUCUUUUAUGAGGGACGAAACAAAUGACGGUACCUCAUGAAUAAGCCACGGCUAACUACGUGCCAGCAGCCGCGGUAAUACGUAGGGGGCAAGCGUUAUCCGGAUUUACUGGGUGUAAAGGGAGCGUAGACGGCAAUACAAGUCGGAAGUGAAAUACCCGGGCUUAACCUGGGAACUGCUUUGGACACUGUAUGGCUGGAGUGCUGGG